AUUGAACGCUGGCGGCAGGCUUAACACAUGCAAGUCGAACGGUAGCAGGAGAAAGCUUGCUUUCUUGCUGACGAGUGGCGGACGGGUGAGUAAUGCUUGGGAAUCUGGCUUAUGGAGGGGGAUAACGACGGGAAACUGUCGCUAAUACCGCGUAGUGUCGAGAGACGAAAGUGCGGGACCGCAAGGCCGCAUGCCAUGAGAUGAGCCCAAGUGGGAUUAGGUAGUUGGUGGGGUAAUGGCUCACCAAGCCUGCCAUCUCUAGCUGAUCUGAUAAGAUGGCCUGCCAGUAAGGAGCCGAAACACGAUCUAGACCGGACGGAACAGCCAUUCUGAAAAAACUGGCCGGAAGCAGGGGCAAACCGGCCAUUUCCUGCCCAUUAAUCAACGCCCGGC
rnacentral:rRNA from 1 species